rnacentral:rRNA from 1 species
UGGGGAAUUUUGGACAAUGGGCGAAAGCCUGAUCCAGCAAUGCCGCGUGUGUGAAGAAGGCCUUCGGGUUGUAAAGCACUUUUGUCCGGAAAGAAAUCCUUGGCUCUAAUACAGUCGGGGGAUGACGGUACCGGAAGAAUAAGCACCGGCUAACUACGUGCCAGCAGCCGCGGUAAUACGUAGGGUGCAAGCGUUAAUCGGAAUUACUGGGCGUAAAGCGUGCGCAGGCGGUUUGCUAAGACCGAUGUGAAAUCCCCGGGCUCAACCUGGGAACUGCAUUGGUGACUGGCAGGCUAGAGUAUGGCAGAGGGGGGUAGAAUUCCACGUGUAGCAGUGAAAUGCGUAGAGAUGUGGAGGAAUACCGAUGGCGAAGGCAGCCCCCUGGGCCAAUACUGACGCUCAUGCACGAAAGCGUGGGGAGCAAAACAGGAUUAGAUACCCUGGUAGUCCACGCCCUAAAACGAUGUCAACUAGUUGUUGGGGAUUCAUUUCCUUAGUAACGUAGCUAACGCGUGAAGUUGACCGCCUGGGGAGUACGGUCGCAAGAUUAAAACUAAAUGAAUUGACGGGGUCAUAGCUGUUUCCU